rnacentral:tRNA from 1 species
CGGGGUGUAGUAUAAUGGCAGUACGCGAGGCUGGGGGUCUUGCAGCCCGAGUCCGAUUCUCGGCACCCCGA